GGGCGAAGCUCUGAAUUGAAGCCCCAGUAAACGGCGGCCGUAACGAUAACGGUCCUAAGGUAGCGAAAUUCCUUGUCGGGUAAGUUCCGACCCGCACGAAAGGUGUAACGACUUGCGCACUGUCUCAACGAGGGACCCGGUGAAAUUGAAGUACCUGUGAAGAUGCAGGUUACCCGCGACUGGACAGAAAGACCCCAUGGAGCUUUACUGCAACCUAAGAUUGAACUUAGUUAAUGAAUGUACAGGAUAGGUGGGAGACGUAGAACCUAGGACGCCAGUUUUAGGGGAGUCAUUGUUGGGAUACCACCCUUUCAUUAAUUGAUUUCUAACGGGCCGAGUAACGACCGGCCGGACAGUCUUAGGCGGGCAGUUUGACUGGGGCGGUCGCCUCCUAAAGAGUAACGGAGGCGCCCAAAGGUUCCCUCAGAGCGGACGGAAAUCGCUCGAAGAGUGUAAAGGCAGAAGGGAGCUUGACUGCGAGACGGACAGGUCGAGCAGGGACGAAAGUCGGGCUUAGUGAUCCG
rnacentral:rRNA from 1 species